ensembl:processed_transcript Gm36241 predicted gene, 36241
GGGACACAUUGGUAAGGUUUCUUUAGCCGUGCCACCACACUGACCUUACUUGAAUGGUAUGCGGCAAGCUCCUCCUGGCCUUUCUUUGAUAUUAAGCCACGAAGCUUGCAGCUUGAUGUCGGUGUCUGAUGGAAGACAUAAAGAAACCGGGGUUUCCAUAGGUACCUUGGUUGGACUGAAGAUGAUUUAACAACUAUAAUUGCGCUCAAAUAGCUCAGUUCCUUCCUCUGAGGCAAGUUCUAGACCCUCCUACUUUCUGCAAAGCCAAGUUGCUCAGAAAGCGCCUGUAAUCAGUGAUGAGCAGCCUCCAGUGGGCUCUGGAAGAAAGCAAGAUUUAGCUUCUGAAGACUUCAAAUCAAUCAAGACUUCAGCUCACCAUCGAUCAGAGGUACUUGCUGUGUGUGUAUGUUUCUCCCAGCACCCAGCACAGAGGCACAAAGGCACAGAGGCCCCACGGUGCUUAAUGAGCUUUCUGAAAGAAAUGGCAAUGCAAUU